UACCAUCUGGUGUUCUUACCGUGGUUGC
rnacentral:sRNA from 1 species